rnacentral:rRNA from 1 species
AUACGUAGGUGGCAAGCGUUGUCCGGAAUUAUUGGGCGUAAAGCGCGCGCAGGUGGUUCCUUAAGUCUGAUGUGAAAGCCCCCGGCUCAACCGGGGAGGGUCAUUGGAAACUGGGGAACUUGAGUGCAGAAGAGGAUAGUGGAAUUCCAAGUGUAGCGGUGAGAUGCGUAGAGAUUUGGAGGAACACCAGUGGCGAAGGCGACUGUCUGGUCUGUAACUGACACGGAGGCGCGAAAGCGUGGGGAGCAAACAGGAUUAGAUACCCUGGUAGUCCACGCCGUAAACGAUGAGUGCUAAGUGUUGGGGGGUUUCCGCCCCUCAGUGCUGCAGCUAACGCAUUAAGCACUCCGCCUGGGGAGUACGGUCGCAAGACUGAAACUCAAAUGAAUUGACGGGG